AAACAAAAAAAUUACGUGUAUAUUACAGAAGGCCGCCUAUCUAAUGUUCUUAAUUCUCCCAAAAAUCCUACUCGUGAUCUCUCCCCUUUCCUCAAACACAAAAUCACGAUUGCCAUCUUUUUAUAUUCGCGAAAUUAUCGAGGCGUCGUGAAACUCCAGCAUCCUAAUGAGAUUUUUCUUCUGGACUCGCUUCAUAUACCUUUCAAGCGUUCCAAUCAAUUCAUCUCGAAGUUCAUAGUCGCGCUCGAUUAGCGGAUAAGCCAAUUCCAGCAUGACGCAGAGAAUCAAAAGGGGAGAUGACCUGGUUGGUGUUAGACUAUUCUAGAAUUCUAAACAUUACCAAAAUUUAGGCCUCAUUUCAUACACCAUCGGCUGUCAUAUCUAAUCUGUUCUCUAGUCAAUAAUACCAUUGUUGAUAAUUCUCGAUAUUUUAGUCAAGGUUACUAAGUUUCGGGUAAGUUCUAUUCACCUAUGAUUCGGUGCUAUUCUUGGAUUGAAAUUCUGGUUGUCUGCCUUUAAAAUGGUUCCAAACUUUUGUUCCAUCCUAUUCUAUUCCUACCAACUGUUUGAUUAAAUGCUUUAGAGGAUUAAUUAACAUUUAUUGGAUUUACACUUUCGUAGCUAAUCAUUUUUCUCAUAACUAGAGAGAAACGAAUUUAUUUUUAUCAGUAUAGCAGCUUGAUUAGAAUCCUUUUACAUUUCUCAAAAAAAGGAAUAGAAUUCUUUUGUAUAGAUGACAUUCUCAUAACUACUUGAGGUUGUAUAAGUACACUUCAUGAUUUGUCUACCAUUCCAUUCUUCUUCAUAUGCUACGUGUGACACUAGUUGAGGCUAUCUAAGUACUGCCCCUUGAGACUAUGUUAAUGAUACCUGUUGUACUUGCAACAACAGAGCUUCAUUAUGAAGCACCGAGCUGUAAAUUGUAGUACUACAUCUCUUGGUAAGAAGUUAAACAAAUCAAAUAUCAAAAGUCAGCUCUUUUGCUGCAUCUUUUCAUGUUGAAAUGAUUUUGUAUGGUACUUAUUAGAUUAUUGACAUUGCUUGGGUGUUCAAUUUGUUCUUACAACUACAGAACCUGAAAUUCAUUUACCACAUACGACAUACUGAUGCACCAGUCGAAGCAAAAGCUUACAGAAAGCAUUAUCCAUCAUUCUUGGAAUAAUGAAAUAUGAUGGUUAGGAAAAGAUUGCUCAAGAUGUGUGUCCACCUAAACGGCUGGCUGAGAAGGGAAUAUCAUUUGUGAAAAACUUCCUUCAGCUAAGGUAGGAACCACAUGACUUAUCUAUACUUCUUCAAGAUAGUGUACGAGGUACAAUCAUGUUGUUCUUUCCGCUACUUAGUAGUUUCCUAAAUUACCUUAGUGAUGAUUCUAUUCUUUUUUUGUUUCAAUUCUUGGAACAAUACCUUAGAGAAUAUGAGCAACUAAUGUAAAGGAAUCCUCCACUUGGGAAAGCAUGGACACUGAAGCUUUUCCAUCAAAAGGACAAUACUAAAACUAUGACUGGGUAGAUUGUUAUGGAAGUUUAAGGGAAAAGUUAUGUAAUUGUAUGUGAAGUAACUCUGUAUUUGGUUCAAAUUGUUUGUAAUGUACUGAAAGUAUUGAAAUAAGAAUAGAUGUUAUUGUGGAUAAAUUGUUGUUACUUA